GGAGGGAUGGCCGAGUGGUUUAAGGCGGCGGUCUUGAAAACCGUUGGGUGAAAGCCCCGUGGGUUCGAAUCCUACUCCCUCCGCCA
rnacentral:tRNA from 2 species